rnacentral:rRNA from 1 species
AUUGAACGCUGGCGGCAGGCCUAACACAUGCAAGUCGAGCGAAGCCUUCGGGCUUAGCGGCGGACGGGUGAGUAACGCGUGGGAACGUGCCCUUUGGUACGGAAUAGCCCCGGGAAACUGGGAGUAAUACCGUAUGUGGUCGAGAGACGAAAGAUUUAUCGCCAAAGGAUCGGCCCGCGUUGGAUUAGGUAGUUGGUGGGGUAAUGGCCUACCAAGCCGACGAUCCAUAGCUGGUUUGAGAGGAUGAUCAGCCACACUGGGACUGAGACACGGCCCAGACUCCUACGGGAGGCAGCAGUGGGGAAUCUUAGACAAUGGGGGAAACCCUGAUCUAGCCAUGCCGCGUGAUCGAUGAAGGCCUUAGGGUUGUAAAGAUCUUUCAGUGGGGAAGAUAAUGACUGUACCCACAGAAGAAGCCCCGGCUAACUCCGUGCCAGCCGCCGCCGUAACAC